rnacentral:ncRNA from 1 species
UUAAAAAGCUUAUAUCAAUUGUGUGUCUGUCUUUCUGUCUGUCUGGUACAAAUUAUUAGUCAAAAACAAAAGUCAGUGGCACGAAGACGAUCAGAUACCGUCGUAGUUCUGACCAUAUACUAUGCCACCUGGCCAUCCGCAGAAGUUGCUUCGAUGACUCUGGGGGCGGCCUUCAAUAAGCCAAAGGUUUUGGGUU